GGGGUCAAAGGUUGUUGGACAGCCUUAAUAUAUUAUGGAAGGCUGAUUCAUUGAGUCUCUACAGAGGUUGUACGACAAUCUGUGAGCAGAUUCUCAUUCGGUGGAGCAGUUUUGACUUUAAAGUAGUGGACAGACAUUUGUACCAUGUCGUAUUACAAUACUGCCAAACACUCAUAAUCACAGAAGGAAAAAACAGGAGAAGAAUUUGUCUUCUCGGACCUAAAGAUGUAAUGUGGCAGAGGAAAUAAAGUCUUUGUGUUGUCUGUUUGGAUGUAAGUUCAGUGUGGUCUUUCCAGGAUAACAGUCAGUGUGUCAUUAAGUAUUUGUAUGAAAAUAGCUGCUUGACUGUUUCUUUAUGGAUGACAACAGGAACUUUAUGAGAGUCAGACGGUGAACCAAAAACAAGUUCUUCACUUUUCUUUGUGUUAAUCUCAGGAGCAUUGUUAUCACUGCACUCGACCACUUUGUUCCCGUCAUGUUGGUGCAGCCCAGAGUUGUCUGAGUUACUGAACACAGAUAUUAGAGCUGUAUCAUCAGAAUACUUUAGAUUGUAUUGAGUUGGUGUAUCUGUACAGAAAUCAUCAGUAUAGAAGUGAAAACAGCUGAACUCAACAACAAUAUGAAUGAAAACAUGUUGGUUCUUACAGAGUUCAGUCCAACAGACGGAGAGCAGAGUCUGCAGCGUCCAGCUGUCUGUCUAUGAAGAGUGACUGGUCCAAAGAUCAUCCUCCAUUGUUCAGUAAUGAACCUGGACCCUCAGACUCAAAAGUUCAGUCCAACAGACAGAGAGCAGAGUCUGCAGCGUCCAGCUGUCUGUCUAUGAAGAGUGACUGGUCCAAUGAUCAUCCUCCAACCUUCAGUAAUGAACCUGGACCCUCAGACUUANNNNNNNNNNNNNNNNNNNNNNNNNNNNNNNNNNNNNNNNNNNNNNNNNNNNNNNNNNNNNNNNNNNNNNNNNNNNNNNNNNNNNNNNNNNNNNNNNNNNGAAAAAUCAGCUUCCUCUGGCUCCUCCUAGUGCUCCUAAUGGCCUCUGCAAGAAUCCACCGGGCCUGAACGAAAACAACCAAUCUGAUUUUUUUUACAGAUCACACGUACACAUAUGUGUCUCUAUGUGCUGGUCAGUGUCAUUGCUUUAAAUUAUUCUUUUCUUUUUUUAAUUAGCAGCUAUAGUAAAUUUCCCACUUGCAAAAUUUACCCCAAAUUCAUGGAGCAGAGGACACAUUGCACAUAGAGUUGACACAAGCAGCUUCCUUUUCUUUUCCUUUAUUGAGUGUGUGUGUGUGUGUGUGUGUGUGUGUGUGUGUGUGUGUGGCUGAGGGCCCCAUUUGCUGCAUGGAGUAGACUCAUAUGCUGCUGCUCCUCCUCCAGCGUCCUGGGAUUACAACAGUGAAACGAAGUCAUGCUAUACUACCACGGCUGCUGCCUCCUCAUCAGUCUACAGCAUGUUUGUGCCUGUGUGUGUGUGUGUGUGUGUGUGUGUGUAGGGGAGGAAGAAGGGGCGUCUGCUCUCAUUUGUGUCUCUUUCUGCCUGACUGACUGUGACACUGAGCAAUGGCUUCAUUCUGUUUUGCAGUCUCUGUCUGCUGGGGAUAAUGAAUAAUUAGGCUAGCACCACAAAUAACAUGAGUUCCACGGGGAGCUGGAGUCAAGCUCCCGUCUGCUUGGAGAUCACAUGAUCCAAGUGCCCUGUGCCUUCACUCAUCUUCACCUCACAUGCAUGGUUUAAUAUAAUGGACUAUAUUGUCUACUACGAUCAAGGCUUGGCUUUUAGUGAAGUACUGUAUACGGCAGGGGUUGGUGUUGAUUUUGCUAAUAUCAGGGUUCCUACGCGUCCUGGAAAACCUGGAUAUAUUAGGGAUUAGUUUUCCAGUCAUGGGGUCACCUGGAAAUUGAUUAAAGCAGUGGUUCCCAACAUUUUUCCUAAAGGGACCCCUUUUAUACCAUUGAGUAAACUGACGACCCCUGACUAAGUGACAUUUUCUAUGGAUAUUUCAUAUUACAUACCUGAUAACUGUACAAAGAACCCAAACAGUGAACACACUAACUGCAAGAAGUUUGAGUAAAAACAGCAAUUUGGAUGAUUUUCUGAAUUGGUGAUAUACAUUAUAUCUAUGCAAACAAUUUCAUUUACUUUUCUUCACAGAAAUUCGGAGAUAUAUAUUUUUAAAAGCAAAUAUUUGUAAAGUGUUCUUACACCCCUUAAAGGCCUCACGGUUUUUCUUGACAAUACAGGACAACAAUUGUUCACAAUAGUGGUCAGCAUUUAUGGGACACGUAGCUUGCCUUAGCUUGGUUUUUUGGCCCGCUCUGCUAUUCUCAGCACAGCCGAUUUUUCCACAUAUGAAAGUGGCCUAAAUCAGAAUUGAAAAGAAAAUCCGAUGUGAGUCACAUACACUGACAGUAAAUCACAUAUGAGCAAAAAAAUCUGAUUUGGGUCAACCCUAACCCUAACCCUAACCCUACAGCUGCAAAGCAGCACGCAUAUCAAACGUACUAAUCACUGUGAUUCAUACAUGUAAACUUGAACCUAACCAAAACUCCAGAAGAUUUAAGUAUGUAGUCCUUUUCUCUUCAGCAGCAUUUAACCUUUUAACUAACCUUUUAACAUUUUAGUUGCCUUAACUUACUGUUGAUUUUAGUCGGCUACAAUCCUAUGAUAUUUAGUCAAUCAAAACAUUUCAGAUGGCUAAAAUAUGACUACAGCUAAAUCAAAAAUUGCUUUCAAAAACACCUGCUCAUAGGGGAAUAGUGCUAUUUUUACUCACCAUAAGAUAUGAAAACUUCUUCGACCCCAGCUGAUGGUGUUUACAAGCUUAACAGUGACUGGUCUUAAACCACAGUAUUUGUUUGUUCCUUCCUUCCUUUUCACUACUUCCUUCCUUCCUUUCUUCCUUCCUUCCUUCCUUGGUGCAGAGUGUCCACAGGCUGAAGGAGGGGAAAACACCAUAUCAGUUAGUUCCAAUGGUGAGGACACAGAGGAAACUCAGAUGAGGCUUCAGCUGAAGAGGAAACUGCAAAGAAACAGAACGUCUUUCACACAGGACCAGAUAGAAGCACUGGAGAAAGGUACAGCAUACGUACAUUUACAAUGUAUGGGUGAAGAAUAACCGCUGUGCAGGGCUGUUUCCUGUGUUAAUCUGUAUUCUGCAUGUGACUUAAGUGUGGAAAACAGCCACUUUACCCCGACUGAGCGGGGUCCGAUUCACAAUGUACCAAUCAGAC
rnacentral:lncRNA from 15 species